GAUCCUGGCUCAGGAUGAACGCUGGCGGCGUGCCUAACACAUGCAAGUCGAACGAGGUAAAUAAGAGGAAGUUUUCGGAUGGAAUCGUAUUUACCGAGUGGCGGACGGGUGAGUAACGCGUGGAUAACCUGCCUCAUACAGGGGGAGUAACAGUUAGAAAUGACUGCUAAUACCGCAUAAGCGCACAGUACCGCAUGGUACGGUGUGAAAAACUACCGGUGGUAUGAGAUGGAUCCGCGU
rnacentral:rRNA from 1 species